rnacentral:misc_RNA from 1 species
AACGCACAUUGCGCCCGCCAGUAUUCUGGCGGGCAUGCCUGUCUGAGCGUCAUUUCAACCCUCAUGCCCCAGCGGUGUGGUGUUGGGGAUCGGCCCGCCCGGGCCGUCCCCUAAAUCUAUUGGCGGACUCGCUGUAGCCUCACUCUGCGUAGUAGUGAUAUUUCGCAUUGGAGAGCGGCGAGCCCCUGCCGUAAAACCCCAACUUCUCAGGUUGACCUCAGAUCAGGUAGGAAUACCCGCUGAACUUAA